AAAUUGAAGAGUUUGAUCAUGGCUCAGAUUGAACGCUGGCGGCAGGCCUAACACAUGCAAGUCGAACGGUAACAGGAAGCAGCUUGCUGCUUUGCUGACGAGUGGCGGACGGGUGAGUAAUGUCUGGGAAACUGCCUGAUGGAGGGGGAU
rnacentral:rRNA from 2 species